rnacentral:rRNA from 1 species
GAUGAACGCUAGCGGCAGGCUUAACACAUGCAAGUCGAGGGGUAGAGGCUUUCGGGCCUUGAGACCGGCGCACGGGUGCGUAACGCGUAUGCAAUCUGCCUUGUACUGGGGGAUAGCCCAGAGAAAUUUGGAUUAAUACCCCAUAGUAUUUUCGGUUGGCAUCAACUGAUUAUUAAAGUUUUUCGGUACAAGAUGAGCACGCGUCCCAUUAGCUAGUUGGUAUGGUAACGGCAUACCAAGGCUACGAUGGGUAGGGGUCCUGAGAGGGAGAUCCCCCACACUGGUACUGAGACACGGACCAGACUCCUACGGGAGGCAGCAGUGAGGAAUAUUGGUCAAUGGUCGCAAGACUGAUCCAGCCAUGCCGCGUGCAGGAUGAAGCAUCUAUGGUGUGUAAACUGCUUUUGUACGGGAAGAAACACUGCUAGGUGUAGCAGCUUGACGGUACCGUAAGAAUAAGGAUCGGCUAACUCCGUGCCAGCCGCCGCGGUAAUAC